rnacentral:lncRNA from 1 species
CUGUAGCCUGCACAUUUUUUUUUUUGCAGACGGCAUCGUUUUCGCUCAAGAGGUGAAAAAAAAACUGCUACAGUGUGUGAAAAUGGAAGAAUCUGCUGUUCUUUCUACAGUAGUGAUAACAUUGUCCUUUUUAUAUAAUAGUGAUAUGUAUAUUGAUGGAAGCAAUCUACUUACCAUCUAAUACUCCCUCGCAUUCUGAAAUAUAUACUUCUCAUCCAGUCAAUGUUGAGUACAUCCUCCAAUUUCUCUAAUCAUGGCAAGGUAAAAGUACGUGUAGAAUAAAAUCAAAGGAAAAUCAGAAAACUGUGUUGAACGUAGAGAGAACAAUGGUAGAGGAAAACAAAGCACUCUAAGAUUUCAAUGCAAAGUGGGAUGUGUAUCUUGACUGGGGCAUUCGUUGCUUUGUUUACUCUUCCUUCACUUGUGCCCUUGUCGGCCUUAUUCUCUUCCAGAGCCU